UUGGCCGCCCUGCUGAGAGCUCCCUUCCCUCCUCCAUUCCCAGAAUUAUUUGGCUGCUGGUCGCCAAGGAGACGACUGACAAUUUCCAGUUGCCAAGCCUCACCCUGGAGCUCUACAGAGACAUUAUGGAAACUCCCCACUCCUUCCUGCUCCUCAGCCAGGGAACUUGGAGAAUCUAGCCAGGUUGGGUGGAGGGCACUGGGAGGGGAUAGAGAGGAGGUGACAAGCCUGAAGAUGGAGAGAGCAGCUAGAAGUUUCCCUGGGCCCUGGCUUCCCCAACAGACCUCAAAAGUCUGGCCCACCCUUGAAGGCUAGGGCUGGCCUGGUGGGCAUCCCCUGUGCUGGGUCCAGACAGACUCCUACCAGGGACCUCCAACCAGACCCUCAACUACAGAGAACUGUCCCUAUAUUGUCAUUCCCGGCCUGGUAGCAGCACUGUUGCCAGAUGGGGCAGAACCCAGGAAGAACCUGGGAACUGAAGGGCUAGGAGUCUUUCCUGGGGGAAGGAACUGCAGCUGUCCUGAGCACUUUGCUCAUAUCAGACAGCACUCAAAUGCACUGAGGCCUAGUGUCACAGCCCGGGAAACAGCAACAACAGCAACGCUAAUAAUAAUAAUCGUAGUGGUGCAGUAGGUGUGACUCUUACUCUAUAAACUUAGGUGCACAAAAAUAUCCAUUUCUCUAUUUCACUAAAAUCAAGUAGAGUUGAGUUCAUUCCUGGGGCUCCUGCCUUUUUCCAGCGUCCCACCAGAACCCGGGGGCUUAUUGCUAUGGUUUAAAUGUGUCCCCAAAAUUCAGGUGUUGCCAGUGUGGUAGUAUUAAGAGAUGGGGUCUCCAAGAGGUGGUUGGGCCACGAGGGCUCCUCCCCUGUGAAUGGGAGUAGCUGCCCUUAUAAAAGGGCUUGACAAAGGGAGUUUAUCCCUUUUUGCCCUUCUGCCUUCCACUAUGUGGGGACAUGGCCUUCGUCUCCUCUGGAAGAUGCAGUGACAAGGCGCCAUCUUGGAAGACAACAGCUCUCACCAGACACCGGACCUGCUGGAGCCCCGGUCUUGGACUUCCCAGUCUCCAGAACUGUGGAGAAGAGAAGAGCAGCACACGCAGUUUCAAAUAGUGAAUGACUUUCAUCUGGAAGUGAGUGGGGUUUGAGUAAUUUUACAAAACUUCCAUGAAAGAAUUCCCCAAGGAUAGAAGUGUCAGGGAAGCAGAUUUUCAUUCAACUUAAAGAGAAGGAGGGCGAGAGCUAACAUUGAUUCAAUGUAUCUGCGUGCCAUGCUGGGUGCUUGUGAGGGGUUUAAUACUGGUGGUUGUAUGUCAUUUGUCCAAUAACUUGAAGAGGGAGUUAUUAUUAUUUUCAUUUCACAGAUGAGGCCACAAGAUGGAGACGGAGCGGGUUGCUCACCCAAGUUCAUGCAGCGCCCAUCUGACGUUCCCCCGGGAGGAGCUGCAGGGCCUUCUUUCGAGGAGGUGGCAGAGGGGCUUCCUGCGUGCAAAGGAGGGUCCCACCAGCCCUUUUGGAACCUCAGCCUGGUCCUCCAGAAUUUCACCUCAAACUACUGGAGUCUAGGUCCUGAGUCCCUCCUUAUAAGCCCCUCAUUUCUGAGUUCAGCUACGAGGCCACUCCAGGGACUCCAGGUUGCCCCUUAGUCCACACAGUUGCCUGUCCUUCCCUCCAGGCUGAUGUGAGCCCUGGGGGCCCAGGCAGGCUGGGGAUGGAGGCCACGCAGUGAGGGUGGAGAGCACAGGCCCUGAGCAGGAGGGGACGAUGAGAAGCAGGCACCAGAACCUGGGAAUCCACAGCUUUACCUGCCCCAGGGCCCGGCUGCUGAGCUUGCACAGUGCAGAGCACAGCUCCAGGUGACCUCAGCUUGGAUGAAGCUCCUUGGGAAGGGGGGAAGGAGGGAAAGAGAGGAUCUCUUGUCAGGCCUCCAACCCUGCCACCAGAGGAUGGAAAAAUCUGACCCCAUCCCUGUGCCUUAAACUUAGACGCUCAAGAAACAUUUGUUCAAUUCAUUGUUUACGUUCUUUGGUUAAGAGGUAUAAGUAAGUUUAAGAGGCAGGAGCUAUACAUGCAUAAUCUCAUGUGUUCCUCACAGGAAAACCAUUAAAGGAAGAAAUUGAAGCUUAGAGAAGUUCUGUAAGAUGCUGAGGUCACACAGUAAUAAAGAGAUAAAUGUGUGUUCUCAUUACUGCGCUUUCUUGUCUCUCAAAGCAAGGAACCAGCUCACCUUGUCUCUCCCAGCUCCUCACCUCCCGAGGCAGCAGGGACAGGAGCCCUGGGCCUGUUCUCCCAUUCCAGACACAUCUCUUCUCUUCCAGACAGGGGCUGUGGCUCUGCCAUGGGGUUCCUGUUCUGGCAGAGCCAGGACACAGGAUGGGGGUAGGCUUCACCUCUGUGAUGGUCUGUUUUAUGUGUCAACUUGGCUAGGUCAUGGGGUACCCAGAUAUUUCAAACAUCACUCUGGGUGUUUCGGGAGGGUGUUCUGGGGUGAGAUGAACAUUUGAAUUGAUAGAAUCAGUAAAGAACAUUGCCCUCCCCAACAUGGGUGGGCCUCAUCCAAUCAGGUGACGGCCCGAACAGAACAAAAAGGCUGAGUAAGAUGGAACUCCGCCUGCCUGACUGCCUGAACUGGAACUGCGGUCUUUUCCUGCCUUCAGACUCAAACUGAAACCUCAGCUCUCCCUGGAUCUCAAGCCUGUGGACAGCAGAUCUUGAGAUUUGUCAGCCUCCAUAAUCACAUGACCCGAUUCCUUAUGAUAAAUCCCUUUCUGUAUAUACAUACAACCUCUUCGUUCUCUUUCUCUGGAGACCCCUGACUAAUAUACCCUCUCUCCCUGACUCUCCCUUCGAGGGUCCCCUUCCUAAGGGGAAAGAGCAGGUUGAGGAGCCCCACCUGACUUCCGUGUUCCUGAUGCCCCAGCUGA
rnacentral:lncRNA from 1 species